rnacentral:lncRNA from 1 species
UUCCCUUGCCAUUCCUCAUCCCUUGUUUGGUUGUCAAACAAGGUGAGGAAUAGGAAUUCCUAAGGAAUAGAAAUUCCUCAGAUUUGUCUUUGGGGUGGGAAUGGCUAAUACCAGUCCCUCCCUUGGUAUUAUCUAUUCCGUGAACGGGGAAUAAGUUUGAAAUAUCAUUUGACUAAAAUACCCUCAAUUGAUUCAUAAUAUCACGAUUAUGUCCCAUAUAAAACCUACUUUGUUUUCACUCUCUUUCUCCUUCCUCUGUCUUCCUCAGCACUUUCAGCCGCCCUUCCCCCGAAAAGCAUCUCCUCUCUCAGCCGACCUUCCCCU